GAUGAACGCUGGCGGCGUGCUUAACACAUGCAAGUCGAACGGUGAAGGCGGAGCUUGCUCUGCUGGAUCAGUGGCGAACGGGUGAGUAACACGUGAGCAAUCUGCCCCUGACUCUGGGAUAAGCGCUGGAAACGGCGUCUAAUACUGGAUACGAGCUGCGAAGGCAUCUUCAGCAGCUGGAAAGAAUUUCGGUCAGGGAUGAGCUCGCGGCCUAUCAGCUUGUUGGUGAGGUAAUGGCUCACCAAGGCGUCGACGGGUAGCCGGCCUGAGAGGGUGACCGGCCACACUGGGACUGGGACACGGCCCAGACUCCUACGGGAGGCAGCAGUGGGGAAUAUUGCACAAUGGGCGAAAGCCUGAUGCAGCAACGCCGCGUGAGGGACGACGGCCUUCGGGUUGUAAACCUCUUUUAGCAGGGAAGAAGCGAAAGUGACGGUACCUGCAGAAAAAGCGCCGGCUAACUACGUG
rnacentral:rRNA from 1 species